AAUAUCAUUUGGUCCCUUUGAUUCAGCAGAGCAAGUUUGGCAUUGGUUUUGUCAAAUACCAGGUGUCCUGUAAUGUUAUGGGACAAAUGCAGGAAGAUAUUUAGGAGCUUAAAUGCUGCUUAAAAUCAGGAGAUAAAAGGGAAAAAAAUACUUACUCACCUUUGUGACCUGAAGGCUAAUUUACUUUCUUAAGCAGCACGGCUGAAAGUUUUAUCCUGACUGCCUUCACAGAAAGAUCCAUCAAGUUUUCCAAUACUGGAGUCUGCCAUUUUUGACUCAGCCUUCAUGGCAGAAGACUAUUAAGAGAGAAAAAUUGACAAGGAUUCUCCUGACGCUUCUGAAACACAGAGGACAUGCUUGUGUGACAGGGACAGGCGUACAACAACACCAUGUGAAGAAGUGAGGUGAAGAGAAAAGAUGUCUUCUUCCAUCCGCUCCAGCCUGGGACCAUGCCUGCCCAACCUGGUCAGCACACCCAUCAUGAGUUAUGAAGCCCGUCUGGAAAGGAGAAACUAAAGAAAAGGUGAUGCUUUUACUGCUGCUGAUAUGAUGACAAGGACUUCUGGCUUAGGAGUUGUCUUUUACUGUUUAGCAAGUAGAUUUCUCUAGCAGCCUGAGGAAAGAGCAACCUGCCUAAUCUCUGUCUCAGGAACGAGUGGAGAACCUCCGCAGAGAAAUCCUUCCCCAGGAAGAACAGGAAGGUUUCCCAGAACAUAGUAAAGGGCAUGGUAAAAAAGGAAAGGAGAAAAUGAGAAACGCUUCUGGGAAGGAGGAACAGAUGAUUUCUUGUGGAGGACACAGAGGUUCUGUCAUGGCCAUCCCACAGCCUACAAGUGAACCUCUUUGCCUCCAGUACUGUUACAAUUUUGGAUAUAUUCACCAUAAAGAAAGCCAAGUUCAAGGGCUAUUAUGGACAAUAAAUGCUAUGCAAGAAUAAAACAAACAAGCAAACAAGCAAAUAAACAAAAACACAGGACGAAACCACAUUGACUCAGCCAACAGCAUGGAACAGACAGGUCUAGAGCUAUUCCGAUUCUGCUGGGACACUACUGACAAACACGACAGAAAAGCAGCAGUAUUUGGUUUCAUAUUUGAGAACUCAAACUCAGUCCCUGCAUGGGCUGCUGCAGAAACAAGUCUGGGAGAAGUGUCUGCUCGGUUUAGUCACAUCCUACUCGGGAGCUUGACUCUGAAGUCGCUGUGUGAAUAUAAAUGUGGUUGCAGCACCAUUAUACUUCCUCACUGCUGCUGAACUCACUUGGGAAACGGCUGUCACUUACUU
rnacentral:lncRNA from 7 species